GACGGAGGAGGCAAGCGUUGUCCGGACUCACUGGGCGUAAAGGGUGCGCAGGCGGCACGGCACGUUCGCGCUGAAAUCCCACGGCUUAACCGUGGGGCGCGUGCGAAUACGGCCGAGCUCGAGGCAUGGAGAGGAUAGGGGAACUCCUGGUGUAGUGGUGAAAUGCGUAGAUAUCAAGAGGAACACCUGAGGUGAAGACGGGUUGCUGGGCUGACACUGACGCUGAGGCGCGAAAGCCAGGGGAGCAAACGGG
rnacentral:rRNA from 1 species